CUCACCAGGUCAGGACACGGUAAGGAUUGACGGACUGAAGGCUCUUUCUCGAUUCCGUGGAAAGUGGUGCAUGGCCGUUUUUGGUUGGUGGAUCGAUCCGUCUGGUUAAUUCCGUUAACGAACGAGACCUCGGCACUCCGAAUAGCGCGGCGGACGUCGCGGCCUCCGGGCCGUCUUCCGCACGAGCUUCUUAGAGGGACCGUCCCCCGCCGGGGAAGGAGGUGCGAGGCAACGACAGGUCUGUGAUGCCCUUAGAUGUUCUGGGCCGCACGCGCAUUACACUGACGCGUCCAACGGGUGACUCCCGACCCGAAGGGGCCGGGGAAUCCGCAAGGCGCGUCGUGAUGGGGAUUGAACGUUGCAAUUGUUGUUCACGAACGAGGAAUUCCUAGUAGGCGCGGGGUCAUCAACCCGCGCCGAUUACGUCCCUGCCCUUUGUACACACCG
rnacentral:rRNA from 1 species